UGAUCUCUGAUUACGUUAUACUACAUAUGAGCUCAUAUGUAGUACAUAUGAGCUCAUAUGUAGUAACAUAUGAGCUCAUAUGUAGUAUAACGUAAUCAGAGAUCAAUAUUUUA
rnacentral:sRNA from 1 species